rnacentral:pre_miRNA from 1 species
UUGCCCGACUUCGGAUUCACGUGGUCAUCCAGGCGGUGCACGUUAAAAGAUAUAAAUGCCCUGCCUGGGUCACCAUGUGAAUAGGGAAUACGGUCA